AUACAGAGGGGGCUAGCGUUGUUCGGAAUGACUGGGCGUAAAGGGCGCGUAGGUGGCUCUACAAGUCAGAUGUGAAAGGCCUAGGCUUAACCUGGGGAUGGCAUUUGAGACUGUAAAGCUAGAGUCCGGGAGAGGAUAGCGGAAUUCCUAGUGUAGAGGUGAAAUUCGUAGAUAUUAGGAAGAACACCGGUGGCGAAGGCGGCUAUCUGGAACGGAACUGACACUGAGGCGCGAAAGCGUGGGGAGCAAACAGGAUUAGAUACCCUGGUAGUCCACGCCGUAAACGAUGAGUGCUAGACGUUGGAAGGUUUACCUUUCAGUGUCGCAGCUAACGCAUGAAGCACUCCGCCUGGGGAGUACGGUCGCAAGAUUAAA
rnacentral:rRNA from 1 species